AACGAACGCUGGCGGCAGGCUUAACACAUGCAAGUCGAACGCAUCCUUCGGGGUGAGUGGCAGACGGGCGAGUAACGCGUGGGAACGUGCCCUUCAGUUCGGGAUAACCCAGGGAAACUUGGGCUAAUACCGGAUACGUGCGAGAGCAGAAAGAUUUAUCGCUGAAGGAUCGGCCCGCGUCUGAUUAGCUGGUUGGUGGGGUAAUGGCCCACCAAGGCGACGAUCAGUAGCUGGUCUGAGAGGAUGAUCAGCCACAUUGGGACUGAGACACGGCCCAAACUCCUACGGGAGGCAGCAGUGGGGAAUAUUGGACAAUGGGCGCAAGCCUGAUCCAGCCAUGCCGCGUGAGUGAUGAAGGCCUUAGGGUUGUAAAGCUCUUUCGUCCGGGACGAUAAUGACGGUACCGGAAGAAGAAGCCCCGGCUAACUUCGUGCCAGCAGCCGCCGUAACAC
rnacentral:rRNA from 1 species